GAUGAACGCUGGCGGCGUGCCUAAUACAUGCAAGUCGAGCGAACAGACGAGGAGCUUUCUCCUCUUACGUUAUCGGCGGUCGGGCGAGUAACACGUGGAUAACCUACCUAUAAGACUGGGAUGACUUCGGGAAACCGGAGCUAAUACCGGAUAAUAUAUUUAACCGCAUGGUUUAAUAGUGAAAGAAGGUUUUGCCGUCACUUAUAGAUGGAUCCCCGCUGAAUUGGCUUGUUGGUAAGGUAACAGCUUACCAAGGCAACGAUGGUAAGGCGACCUGAGAGGGUGACGGGCAACAUGGGACUGGAGCCAGGGCCAAGCCUCUUACGGGAGGCGGCAGUGGGGAAUCUUCGGAAAAGGGCGAAAGCUGAACGGGGCAACGCCGGGUGAUGGAUGAGGGUCUUGGGUUCGUAAAACUCGGUUAUUGGGGAAGAACAAAUGUGUAAGUAACUAUGCACGUCUUGACGGUACCUAAUCAGAAAGCCACGGCUAACUACGUG
rnacentral:rRNA from 1 species